rnacentral:lncRNA from 1 species
AUUUGGUUAAUUGAUAAAAUGGUAUAUUGUUAUUUAUACAGUCACCUAGAAAGCUAGGAUUUAGAUACAGUUUGUGUCGUUUUGCCAUGCGUUGACCUCAAACAUUUUUACAGGUAUACUAAUAUAAUCACCAUGUUUUUCUCUGCGGUAGAAAUAUCAAUUAAAUACUGGUUCGAAUGUUUUAUGUGUUUGAAAAAAAAAAAAAAAAUACCCGCACCGUUACUGGCAUUAGCAUUGAGAUUAUAAAGUCAAAGACUCAAGUACGUACUGAGUGCCCAGCGCUUUGCAACAACUAUUUAGGGGACAUGAUGUGAUAUAAUUUGUCUCCAUACAACAAACUCAACUUCUUAUUUAGUAUUGUAAAAGUCGUCUUUGGAAUUUUCAAAAUCCAAAUAGAUAUUUGAAAUCCGUAAUAGCGACUGCAAUAAACAUUCUAAAGUCACGCAGGUUAAUACAACAGUCCGGAAGUGGACAGAGUUUUAACGAGAUACCUGUAGGGCUGUAUGUAUAUAGUAAGAC